UACGGAGGGUGCAAGCGUUAUCCGGAUUCACUGGGUUUAAAGGGUGCGUAGGUGGACUUGUAAGUCAGUGGUGAAAGCCCGGAGCUCAACUCCGGAACUGCCAUUGAUACUGCAAGUCUUGAGUACACUUGAGGUGGGCGGAAUACAUCAUGUAGUGGUGAAAUACUUAGAUAUGAUGUAGAACACCGAUUGCGAAGGCAGCUCACUAAAUUGUAACUGACACUGAGGCACGAAAGCGUGGGGAUCAAACAGG
rnacentral:rRNA from 1 species